CCUACGGGUGGCAGCAGUAGGGAAUCUUCCACAAUGGACGAAAGUCUGAUGGAGCAACGCCGCGUGAGUGAUGAAGGUUUUCGGAUCGUAAAACUCUGUUGUAAGGGAAGAACAAGUACGAGAGGUAAUGCUCGUACCUUGACGGUACCUUGCGAGAAAGCCACGGCUAACUACGUGCCAGCAGCCGCGGUAAUACGUAGGUGGCAAGCGUUGUCCGGAAUUAUUGGGCGUAAAGCGCGCGCAGGCGGCCUUUUAAGUCUGAUGUGAAAGCCCCCGGCUCAACCGGGGAGGGUCAUUGGAAACUGGAAGGCUUGAGUACAGAAGAGAAGAGUGGAAUUCCAUGUGUAGCGGUGAAAUGCGUAGAGAUGUGGAGGAACACCAGUGGCGAAGGCGACUCUUUGGUCUGUAACUGACGCUGAGGCGCGAAAGCGUGGGGAGCAAACAGGAUUAGAUACCCUUGUAGUC
rnacentral:rRNA from 1 species